rnacentral:rRNA from 1 species
GAUGAACGCUGGCGGCGUGCUUAACACAUGCAAGUCGAACGAAACACCUUAUUUGAUUUUCUUCGGAACUGAAGAUUUGGUGAUUGAGUGGCGGACGGGUGAGUAACGCGUGGGUAACCUGCCCUGUACAGGGGGAUAACAGUCAGAAAUGACUGCUAAUACCGCAUAAGACCACAGCACCGCAUGGUGCAGGGGUAAAAACUCCGGUGGUACAGGAUGGACCCGCGUCUGAUUAGCUGGUUGGCGAGGUAACGGCUCACCAAGGCGACGAUCAGUAGCCGGCCUGCGAGAGUGAACGGCACCAUUGGUACUGGGACACGGCCCAAACUCCGACGGGAGGCAGCCGUGGGGAAUAUUGCACAAUGGGGGAAACCCUGAUGCAGCGACGCCGCGUGGGUGAAGAAGUAUCUCGGUAUGUAAAGCUCUAUCAGCAGGGAAGAAAAUGACGGUACCUGACUAAGAAGCCCCGGCUAACUACGUGCCAGCAGCCGCGGUAAAAC